rnacentral:rRNA from 1 species
AACCCCCGCCGGGUAGAAUGACGUAGCGACACCGCGUGAGCGAAGAAGCCUUUUGGGGUGUAAAGCUCUGUCAGCUGGAACGAACACAAUGACGGUACCAGCAGAGGAAGCAUCGGCUAACUACGUGCCAGCAGCCGCGGUAAGACGUAGGAUGCAAGCGUUGUCCGGAUUUAUUGGGCGUAAAGAGUUCGUAGGCGGUUAGUUAAGUCUGGUGUUAAAUACCGUGGCCCAACCACGGAGCUGCAUCAGAUACUGGCUAACUUGAGUGCGGUAGAGGCGAGUGGAAUUCCCAGUGUAGCGGUGAAAUGCGUAGAUAUUGGGAAGAACACCAGUGGCGUAAGCGACUCGCUGGGCCGUAACUGACGCUGAGGAACGAAAGCCAGGGGAGCGAAUGGGAUUAGAUACCCCCAGUAGUCAA